CUAAUUUUCGAGGAUGGCACUGGCUUUGGAUUGAAGCGGAUUCGUCUUAUGUAGUUCAGCUUCUGUACUCACGUUCUCUGAGUGUUCCUUGGCGUUUUUUACCGUUUUGGAAACAGACUUUAAGCUGGCUUUUGAAUUUUCGCCUUCAAAUCUCGCAUAUUUAUAGAGAAGGAAACAGUGCAGCGGAUAUUAUGGCUAAUCAUGA
rnacentral:lncRNA from 1 species